rnacentral:lncRNA from 1 species
UAAGAGCUCCUCCCCACAUUCGGAAUGGCCGGUGAACUCAAUUCACUGGCAAUGAAGAACGCUGAUGAAGCCUGUAGUCCACUGGCGACGAGCCCCGUGU